AAUUUAGAUACAGGUGCUGCACGGCUGUCGUCAGCUCGUGUCGUGAGAUGUUGGGUUAAGUCCCGCAACGAGCGCAACCUCGUGUUUAGUUGCUAACAGUUCGGCGUGAGAACUCUAAACAGACUGCCUACGCAAGUAGGAGGAAGGUGAGGACGACGUCAAGUCAUCAUGGCCCUUACGGCCAGGGCUACACACGUGCUACAAUGGGGUAUACAAAGAGCAGCGAUACGGUGACGUGGAGCAAAUCUAGAAAAUGCCUCUCAGUUCGGAUUGUAGUCUGCAACUCGACUACAUGAAGUUGGAAUCGCUAGUAAUCGUAGAUCAGCAAUGCUACGGUGAAUACGUUCCCGGGUCUU
rnacentral:rRNA from 1 species